GAUCAUGCUCAGAUUGAACGCUGGCGGCAGGCCUAACACAUGCAAGUCGAACGGUAACAGGAAGAAGCUUGCUUCUUUGCUGACGAGUGGCGGACGGGUGAGUAAUGUCUGGGAAACUGCCUGAUGGAGGGGGAUAACUACUGGAAACGGUAGCUAAUACCGCAUAACGUCGCAAGACCAAAGAGGGGGGACCUUCGGGCCGUCUUGCCAUCGGAUGUGCCCAGAUGGGAUUAGCUAGUAGGG
rnacentral:rRNA from 1 species